GAUGAACGCUGGCGGCGUGCCUAAUACAUGCAAGUCGAGCGAACAGACGAGGAGCUUGCUCCUCUGACGUUAGCGGCGGACGGGUGAGUAACACGUGGAUAACCUACCUAUAAGACUGGGAUAACUUCGGGAAACCGGAGCUAAUACCGGAUAAUAUAUUGAACCGCAUGGUUCAAUAGUGAAAGACGGUUUUGCUGUCACUUAUAGAUGGAUCCGCGCCGCAUUAGCUAGUUGGUAAGGUAACGGCUUACCAAGGCAACUAUGCGUAGCCGACCUGAGAGAGUGAUCGGCCACACUGGAACUGAGACACGGUCCAUACGCCUACGAGAGGGAGCAGUAGGGAAUCGUCCGCAAUGGGCGAGAGCCUUACGGAGUAACGGCGCGUGAGUGAUGAAGGCCUUCGGAUCGUAAAGCUCUGUUAUUAGUGAAGAACAAAUGUGUAAGUAACUAUGGACGUCUUGACGGUACCUAAUCAGAAAGCCACGGCUAACUACGUG
rnacentral:rRNA from 1 species